rnacentral:rRNA from 1 species
AUUGAACGCUGGCGGCAGGCCUAACACAUGCAAGUCGAGCGGGGUGAUGGUGCUUGCACUAUCACUUAGCGGCGGACGGGUGAGUAAUGCUUAGGAAUCUGCCUAUUAGUGGGGGACAACAUCUCGAAAGGGAUGCUAAUACCGCAUACGUCCUACGGGAGAAAGCAGGGGAUCACUUGUGACCUUGCGCUAAUAGAUGAGCCUAAGUCGGAUUAGCUAGUUGGUGGGGUAAAGGCCUACCAAGGCGACGAUCUGUAGCGGGUCUGAGAGGAUGAUCCGCCACACUGGGACUGAGACACGGCCCAGAAUCCUACGGGAGGCAGCAGUGGGGAAUAUUGGACAAUGGGGGGAACCCUGAUCCAGCCAUGCCGCGUGUGUGAAGAAGGCCUUAUGGUUGUAAAGCACUUUAAGCGAGGAGGAGGCUCUUUUGGUUAAUACCCAAGAUGAGUGGACGUUACUCGCAGAAUAAGCACCGGCUAACUCUGUGCCAGCCGCCGCAGUAA